rnacentral:rRNA from 1 species
AUGAACGCUGGCGGCGUGCCUAAUACAUGCCGGUCGAGCGAACAGACGAGGAGCUUGCUCCUCUGACGUUAGCGGCGGACGGGUGAGUAACACGUGGAUAACCUACCUAUAAGACUGGGAUAACUUCGGGAAACCGGAGCUAAUACCGGAUAAUAUAUUUAACCGCAUGGUUCAAUAGUGAAAGACGGUUUUGCUGUCACUUAUAGAUGGAUCCGCGCCGCAUUAGCUAGUUGGUAAGGUAACGGCUUACCAAGGCGACGAUGCGUAGCCGACCUGAGAGGGUGAUCGGCCACACUGGAACUGAGACACGGUCCAGACUCCUACGGGAGGCAGCAGUAGGGAAUCUUCCGCAAUGGGCGAAAGCCUGACGGAGCAACGCCGCGUGAGUGAUGAAGGUCUUCGGAUCGUAAAACUCUGUUAUUAGGGAAGAACAAAUGUGUAAGUAACUAUGCACGUCUUGACGGUACCUAAUCAGAAAGCCACGGCUAACUACGUG